GACGAACGCUGGCGGCGUGCUUAACACAUGCCAGUCGAACGGAAAGGCCCUGCUUUUGUUGGGUGCUCGAGUGGCGAACGGGUGAGUAACACGUGAGUAACCUGCCCUUGACUUUGGGAUAACUUCAGGAAACUGGGGCUAAUACCGGAUAGGAGCUCCUGCUGCAUGGUGGUGUUUGGAAAGUUUCGGCGGUUGGGGAUGGACUCGCGGCUUAUCAGCUUGUUGGUGGGGUAGUGGCUUACGAAGGCUUUGACGGAUAGCCGGCCUGGGAGGGGGACCGCGCACAAUAGGACUAAGGGACGGAGCAGACUGCUACGGUAGGCAGCAGGGGAGAAUAUUGUACAGUGAGGCGAAGCCUGAGGCAGAAACGCCGCGGGCGGGAUGAAGGUCUUCGGGGUGUAAAAAGCUUUCGCCUGUGACGAAGCGUGAGUGACGGUAAUGGGAAAAGAAGCACCGGCUAACUACGUG
rnacentral:rRNA from 1 species